UAAAAUAAAUGCGAAAAAAUAAAAUAAAAAACCAUGGGUUGCCUCCCACACAAUGCUUGUUUAACGUCAUUAGCUUGACGAUCGGAAGUUAUACACCUGUAGUAGGGAUUGGUGGAUCAAUCAGAGUGUGGCUUGAGUAGUCUGCUGGAAUGUCUCCUCCUUCGUAGAGCUUUAGUCUUUGUCCAUUUACAAUGAAUGGACUACAAGUCUCGUUUUUU
rnacentral:lncRNA from 1 species